rnacentral:rRNA from 1 species
AAAAACUCCGGUGGUAUGAGAUGGACCCGCGUCUGAUUAGCUGGUUGGAGGGGUAACGGCCCACCAAGGCGACGAUCAGUAGCCGGCCUGAGAGGGUGAACGGCCACAUUGGGACUGAGACACGGCCCAGACUCCUACGGGAGGCAGCAGUGGGGAAUAUUGCACAAUGGGGGAAACCCUGAUGCAGCGACGCCGCGUGAAGGAAGAAGUAUCUCGGUAUGUAAACUUCUAUCAGCAGGGAAGAAAAUGACGGUACCUGACUAAGAAGCCCCGGCUAACUACGUGCCAGCAGCCGCGGUAAUACGUAGGGGGCAAGCGUUAUCCGGAUUUACUGGGUGUAAAGGGAGCGUAGACGGAAGAGCAAGUCUGAUGUGAAAGGCUGGGGCUUAACCCCAGGACUGCAUUGGAAACUGUUUUUCUAGAGUGCCGGAGAGGUAAGCGGAAUUCCUAGUGUAGCGGUGAAAUGCGUAGAUAUUAGGAGGAACACCAGUGGCGAAGGCGGCUUACUGGACGGUAACUGACGUUGAGGCUCGAAAGCGUGGGGAGCAAACAGGAUUAGAUAC